UACGUAGGGUGCAAGCGUUAUCCGGAAUCACUGGGUGUAAAGGGAGUGUAGGCGGGCACUUGCGUCAGAGGUAAAAUCCCCAAGCUUAACUUGGGAUCUGCCUUUGAUACGGGGUGUCUUGAGUAUGAGAGAGGAUGAUGGAAUUCCUGGUGUAGCAGUGAAAUGCGUAGAUAUCAGGAGGAACACCGGUGGCGAAGGCGGUCAUCUGGCUCAUAACUGACGCUGAGGCUCGAAAGCGUGGGGAUCAAACAGGAUUAGAUACCCUGGUAGUCCACGCCCUAAACGAUGUAUGCUUGGUGUUACUCUCGUAAGAGAUUAGUGCCGAAGGAAACCCGUUAAGCAUACCACCUGGGGAGUACAAUCGCAAGGUUGAA
rnacentral:rRNA from 1 species